AUUGAACGCUGGCGGCAGGCCUAACACAUGCAAGUCGAGCGGAUGAAGGGAGCUUGCUCCUGGAUUCAGCGGCGGACGGGUGAGUAAUGCCUAGGAAUCUGCCUGGUAGUGGGGGAUAACGUCCGGAACGGGCGCUAAUACCGCAUACGUCCUGAGGGAGGAAGUGGGGGAUCUUCGGACCUCCCGCUAUCAGCUGAGCCUAGGUCGGAUUAGCUAGUUGGUGGGGUAAAGGCCUACCAAGGCGACGAUCCGUAACUGGUCUGAGAGGAUGAUCAGUCACACUGGAACUGAGACACGGUCCAGACUCCUACGGGAGGCAGCAGUGGGGAAUAUUGGACAAUGGGCGAAAGCCUGAUCCAGCCAUGCCGCGUGUGUGAAGAAGGUCUUCGGAUUGUAAAGCACUUUAAGUUGGGAGGAAGGGCAGUAAGUUAAUACCUUGCUGUUUUGACGUUACCAACAGAAUAAGCACCGGCUAACUUCGUG
rnacentral:rRNA from 1 species